GUGUGAGCGCUCUGUGCUGCGGUGUGGCCGCGCGCAGUACUGGGUCUGGGCGGCAGGCGGCGCCGGGAGCGAGCCAGCGGGCCUCGACAAUCUGCAGGAGCCCGGGAAGCAGACUUGAUUGGUGCCAAGGCGGGAGCGGCAGCGCGAAGAAAUGGGCGUCGCACACCGGAAGGGGUCGGAGAGCAGGCUUGGCUGCUUCUCGGAGGGGGAGCCUCGGCUAGCAGCCCCGCGCCUCCGCCACGCACCCAGAAGGUCGCCGCCUGCCUUUGGGAUUCCUGCUCCCUCACCCCCACCCCAGAGAAUCCAGAGACAACCCUGUGGGGUUUUCCGAUCGUGGGGUGUAUGUUUGCAGGGAGGGAGGUUCUCCUCCCCAGGGAGUGGUUCGGAUCCGGAGAGACUUAGAGGACUUUGGUCCCACCUGGGAGAGGGCACUACUUGCGGGUGUCCUAUCUGCGAUGUCUUCCUUGCUCCUUUCCUUGUUCGCUCGCUGUGUGACCUUGGAGAAAAAGUCCAGUAACCUCUCUGUGCCUUAAUUUCUUUAACGGUAAAAUGUGAGAAAUGAUAGUCCCUACUUGUUAGGAUUGUUAUGAAAAAUAAAGUAGUUAUAUAUGUGUGUGUCAACAGCUUAGGGCAAGCUCUGGGGAGUGUUACAUUCUCUACAGGCAGUAGCUUUUAAUUGUUAAACCACAGCUUAUGUAUUAAUUUACGUUUCCUCUUUUGAGGGAAUUUUGUGGUUAGGAACCUUCCUCUUUGCGUCUUUCAUUUGGCCUUGCCUUCUCCGACCAAUCGGUGGCUCUCAUGAUUUUCUAAGUAAUUUCAAACAUUGACAAAAACUAGUUCAUCCCAAGGGGAUUCUCCCAUAUUAAGGCCCGUGUGGGAGCAAGAUGCCAGUCAAUAGACUGUUACUGUGUCCCUCCUGUGUGUCAGCCUCUUUUCCCUGUUCUACCCACUGCUUGUGCUAAGUGGAUCCAAGAUCUCCCUCCCUUGUGAGCAAAGUUACCUGUAUUGCAGAGACCUCCCCCUCUUCACUCUGAGUUUCCUGAGGCCAGAGACCACGUCUUUAUCCCCAGGGCCUGGCACAAUUUAGCCAUGCAGUAAACGUUUGUUGAGCUCACGUGUCUAUCCACAGAAGACUGGCUGAAUAAACCACGGUAUAUCUACAGAAUGCAGUUCUGUGAAGCUUUACAAAAGAAUGAAGACCAUCUCUGUGGAAGGCCACCAGACUCCAGGAUACAUUAAGUGAAAAAAGCAAGACUGGGACCCUGUAUACACUGCCUUCCUUCGAAGAAAGAUGUGUGCUUUGCUUACAUUUUAAAGAAGAAGCAAUGGGAGUAUAAAUCACAAACUAAUAAAAAUGGUUGCAUAUAAGAAGAACAGGAUGUAAGAGAUGGAAAUAAGGGCUAGACUUAUUUUCAUAUAUUGUGUUUUAUAGUUUGACUUUGGAAUCAUGUAAAUGAUUUACAUGCUACAUUUUUAAA